rnacentral:rRNA from 1 species
GACGAACCGGACAAACGUUAUUCGGAAUUACUGGGCUUAAAGGGUGCGUAGGCGGUGCUGUAAGUCGGGUGUGAAAUACCUCAGCUCAACUGAGGAACUGCGCCCGAUACUGCGGUGCUCGAGGGAGACAGAGGUAAGCGGAACUGAUGGUGGAGCGGUGAAAUGCGUUGAUAUCAUCAGGAACACCAGUGGCGAAAGCGGCUUACUGGGUCUCUUCUGACGCUGAGGCACGAAAGCCAGGGUAGCAAACGGG